GAUGAACGCUAGCGGCAGGCUUAACACAUGCAAGUCGAGGGGUAUAGUAGCAAUACUAGAGACCGGCGCACGGGUGCGUAACGCGUAUGCAAUCUACCUUUCACAGAGGGAUUGCCCAGAGAAAUUUGGAUUAAUACCUCAUAGACUACUACAUUGGCAUCAAGGAAUUAUGAAAGUCCCAACGGUGAAAGCUGAGCAUGCGUCCCAUUAGCUAGUUGGUAUGGUAACGGCAUACCAAGGCGACGAUGGGUAGGGGUCCUGAGGGGGAGAUCCACCGCACUGGUACUGAGACACAGACCAGACUCCUACGGGAGGCAGCAGUGAGGAAUAUUGUACAAUGGGCGCAAGCCUGAUCCAGCCAUGCCGCGUGCAGGAUGACGGUCCUAUGGAUUGUAAACUGCUUUUGCACAGGAAGAAACAACAUUACGUGUAAUGUCUUGACGGUACUGUGAGAAUAAGGAUCGGCUAACUCCGUGCCAGCCGCCGCCGUAAAAC
rnacentral:rRNA from 1 species